rnacentral:rRNA from 1 species
CUCCAGAGAUGGAGCGUUCCCUUCGGGGACAAGGUGACAGGUGGUGCAUGGUUGUCGUCAGCUCGUGUCGUGAGAUGUUGGGUUAAGUCCCGCAACGAGCGCAACCCUUAUUACUAGUUGCCAGCAUUUAGUUGGGCACUCUAGUGAGACUGCCGGUGACAAACCGGAGGAAGGUGGGGAUGACGUCAAAUCAUCAUGCCCCUUAUGACCUGGGCUACACACGUGCUACAAUGGCGUAUACAACGAGUUGCCAACCCGCGAGGGUGAGCUAAUCUCUUAAAGUACGUCUCAGUUCGGAUUGUAGGCUGCAACUCGCCUACAUGAAGUCGGAAUCGCUAGUAAUCGCGGAUCAGCACGCCGCGGUGAAUACGUUCCCGGGUCUUGUACACACCGCCCGUCACACCAUGAGAGUUUGUAACACCCAAAGCCGGUGGGGUAACCUUCGGGAGCCAGCCGUCUAAGGUGGGACAGAUGAUUAGGGUGAAGU